rnacentral:rRNA from 1 species
CCUACGGGGGGCAGCAGUCGAGAAUCAUUCACAAUGGGGGAAACCCUGAUGGUGCGACGCCGCGUGGGGGAAUGAAGGUCUUCGGAUUGUAAACCCCUGUCAUGUGGGAGCAAAUUAAAAAGAUAGUACCACAAGAGGAAGCGACGGCUAACUCUGUGCCAGCAGCCGCGGUAAUACGGAGGUCUCAAGCGUUGUUCGGAAUCACUGGGCGUAAAGCGUGCGUAGGCUGUUGCGAAAGUCGUGUGUGAAAGGCGCGGGCGCAAUCCGCGGACGGCACGUGAUACUGCGAGACUGGAGUGAGGGAGGGGGAAGCGGAAUUCUCGGUGUAGCGGUGAAAUGCGUAGAUAUCGAGAGGAACACUCGUGGCGAAGGCGGGUUCCUGGACAUUAACUGACGCUGAGGCACGAAGGCCAGGGGAGCGAAAGGGAUUAGAUACCCUAGUAGUC